GAUGAAGAACGUAGCGAAAUGCGAUAAGUAAUGUGAAUUGCAGAAUUCAGUGAAUCAUCGAAUCUUUGAACGCAUCUUGCGCUCCUUGGUAUUCUGAGGAGCAUGCCUGUUUGAGUGUCAUUAAAUUCUCAACUAUACUGACUUUGAAUUGGUGUGGCUUGGAUUUGGGGGGAAAAUUGUUGUGGGCUUUUUGUAUAGUCUGCUCCCCUGAAAUUGAUUAGCGGUACCUUUGUGGAACUGUCUACAGGUGUGAUGAUUAUCUACAUCUUAGACAUCUGCUGGAAUGCUGCUUUCUAAACCUUACUUGUAUUGACAAUCUUGACCUCAAAUCAGGUAGGACUACCCGCUGAACUUAAGCAUAUCAAUAAGCGGAGGA
rnacentral:misc_RNA from 1 species